GGCCUUUUAAGGAAUCGCUGGUAAGUUCAAAUAAUAACUAGGCUAUAUAGAAAAUAGAAAUUUUUAUUGUCUGUUAAUGUUGGACAUGGCAAUUGAAAGACAAACACUUAACUUUUGUAGCUUUCCCAAAUGUUAUCGGAGCUCUGGACUGCACCCACGUGCGCAUAAAGCGUCCGUCUGGUCCGCAUGAAGCAGACCUUAUUAAUAGGAAAUCAUUACACAGCAUCAAUGUACAGAUGAUUUGUGAUGCAGAUUGCAUCAUCACAAAUGUAGAGGCAAAAUGGCCUGGCUCACUGCAUGAUUCCAGAAUCUUUCGGGCCUCUUCUCUUUCCCACCAACUGGCACAAGGAGACGCAGACUGAGGCACAGCACAACUACAAUAUUGGCCAUGCAUGCACAAGAGCUCGUAUGGAGAUGGCAUUUGGGCCCUAUCAAGUCAAGGUUCCAGUGUCUGAAUUACCUCAGAGUGACUCCACAAAGGGCAAGUGACAUUGUAGUUGCAUGUGUUGUGCUACAUAACAUUGCCUGUGUGAGGAGAGAGAGGCAACCAAGGAUUGUAGAGGAAGACUGGGACAUUGAAACCAUUUUUGAGGACAAUGAAACAGGC
ensembl:lncRNA